rnacentral:lncRNA from 1 species
GAUCCUAGUUGUAGACCAUUUUAGGUCCUGCACAUGUGACGUAUCUCUUGAUCAUGAAUCUAAUGUUUGGCGCAAUCAAUGAAGCUGCCGAAUAUGGGAUAAAUUGGUAAUGAGUCAUUAGACAAAAGCUAUUUUGCACUAUCUUGAAAGAUAAUUUUUUAUAGCUAUUUUAUAAUGCGAAUCGUAAGAUCGCAUCACAUAAAAUUAGACUAAAUUUUUCACUUAAAAAGGAGAAAAAACUCGCACACUAUUAACUAACCAGAG